rnacentral:rRNA from 1 species
CCUACGGGAGGCUGCAGUGAGGAAUAUUGGUCAAUGGACGAGAGUCUGAACCAGCCAAGCAGCGUGAAGGAUGACUGCCCUAUGGGUUGUAAACUUCUUUUAUAUGGGAAUAAAAUGUUCCACGUGUGGGAUUUUGUAUGUACCAUAUGAAUAAGGAUCGGCUAACUCCGCGCCAGCAGCCGCGGUAAUACGGAGGAUCCGAGCGUUAUCCGGAUUGAUUGGGUUUAAAGGGAGCGUAGGUGGAUUGUUAAGUCAGUUGUGAAAGUUUGCGGCUCAACCGUAAAAUUGCAGUUGAUACUGGCAGUCUUGAGUACAGUAGAGGUGGGCAGAAUUCGUGGUGUAGCGGUGAAAUGCUUAGAGAUCACGAGGAACUCCGAUUGCGAAGGCAGCUCACUGGACUGCAACUGACGCUGAGGCUCGAAAGUGUGGGUAUCAAACAGGAUUAGAUACCCGGGUAGUC